rnacentral:rRNA from 1 species
GGGGAAUCUUGCGCAAUGGGCGAAAGCCUGACGCAGCAACGCCGCGUGCGGGAAGAAGGCCUUCGGGUUGUAAACCGCUUUCAGAAGGAACGAAACUGACGGUACUUUCAGAAGAAGGUGCGGCCAACUACGUGCCAGCAGCCGCGGUGACACGUAGGCACCAAGCGUUGUCCGGAUUUAUUGGGCGUAAAGAGCUCGUAGGCGGUUCGGUAAGUCGGGUGUGAAAACUUUGGGCUCAACCCAAAGCGUGCAUUCGAUACUGCCGUGACUAGAGUUCGGUAGGGGAGUGGGGAAUUCCUAGUGUAGCGGUGAAAUGCGCAGAUAUUAGGAGGAACACCGGUGGCGAAGGCGCCACUCUGGGCCGAAACUGACGCUGAGGAGCGAAAGCGUGGGUAGCAAAC